UGGUCCAGUGGUAUAUGCACUGGUCUGCAAACUGCGAAGCGUGGGUUCCAACCCCACUAA
rnacentral:tRNA from 1 species